AGGGCACCACCAGGAGUGGAGCCUGCGGCUUAAUUUGACUCAACACGGGAAAACUCACCCGGCCCGGACACUGUAAGGAUUGACAGAUUGAUAGCUCUUUCUUAAUUCAGUGGAUGGUGGUGCAUGGCCGUUCUUAGUUGGUGGAGCGAUUUGUCUGGUUAAUUCCGAUAACGAACGAGACUCUGGCCUAUUAAAUAGACGGUAUAUCUAGAAAAAGUAUACCGCGCUUCUUAGAGGGACAACCGGCGUCUAGCCGCGUGAAAUAGAGCAAUAACAGGUCUGUGAUGCCCUUAGAUGUCCGGGGCUGCACGCGCGCUACACUGAAAGAAUCAGUAUGCGCCGUCGCCUAGUUCGGAAGAACCGGGUAACCCGAGCAAAUUCUUUCGUGCUUGGGAUAGGGAAUUGCAAUUAUUUCCCUUAAACGAGGAAUUCCCAGUAAAUGCGGGUCAUAAGCUCGCGUUGAUUACGUCCCUGCCCUUUGUACACACCGCCCGUCGCUACUACCGAUUGGAUGACUUA
rnacentral:rRNA from 1 species